GGGGGAUUAGCUCAGUUGGCUAGAGCGCUUGCCUUGCACGCAAGAGGUCAUCGGUUCGACUCCGAUAUUCUCCA
rfam:Polaribacter sp. SA4-10 genome.